rnacentral:rRNA from 1 species
GAUGAACGCUGGCGGCGUGCCUAAUACAUGCAAGUCGAGCGAACAGACGAGGAGCUUGCUCCUCUGACGUUAGCGGCGGACGGGUGAGUAACACGUGGAUAACCUACCUAUAAGACUGGGAUAACUUCGGGAAACCGGAGCUAAUACCGGAUAAUAUAUUGAACCGCAUGGUUCAAUAGUGAAAGACGGUUUUGCUGUCACUUAUAGAUGGAUCCGCGCCGCAUUAGCUAGUUGGUAAGGUAACGGCUUACCAAGGCAACGAUGCGUAGCCGACCUGAGAGGGUGAUCGGCCACACUGGAACUGAGACACGGUCCAGACUCCUACGGGAGGCAGCAGUAGGGUAUCUUCCGCAAUGGGCGAAAGCUUGACGGAGCAACGCCGCGUGAGUGAUGAAGGUCUUCGGAUCGUAAAACUCUGUUAUUAGGGAAGAACAAAUGUGUAAGUAACUAUGCACGUCUUGACGGUACCUAAUCAGAAAGCCACGGCUAACUACGUG